UAGCAGUGAGGAAUAUUGGUCAAUAGCCUAACGGCUGAACCAGCAACUUGGAGGAAUGUAUAGCAAUAGCUAAUUGCACCAACAAAUAGUUGAUGUAAUAUCGACUAUGUCGAAUAAAAUUCUAGGUAGAAUUAUGAUAAUGACAUUGUCUGCCUAUGUGUCUUGACCAAAUUACGUGCCAGCAGUCGCGGUAAUAMGUAGAAGACUAGUGUUAUUCAUCUUUAAUAGGUUUAAAGGGUACCUAGACGGUAAAUCAAGCCUGAAAGGGGACUAAUUUUCUAGAGUUACUUGUGAGGGGGUAUUAAAGUACUGAUGGUGUAGAGAUGAAAUUCUGUCAUACCUUUUCUAUUGCUAGAACUAAUGGCACAGGUAUAGGCGAAAGCAUCCCCUUAUGUGAUAACUGACGUU
rnacentral:rRNA from 1 species